GUUCUGUCAGCCUCGCUCCGGUCUGCUCACCUGUGUGAGGUGUGUUGACCUGCUCGGUGUGCUCACCUGUGUGAGGUGUGUUGACCUGCUCGGUGUGCUCACCUGUGUGAGGUGUGUUGACCUGCUCCAGUCUGCUCACCUGUGUGAGGUGUGUUGAACUGCUCGGUGUGCUCACCCGUGUGAGGCUUCAGACAGAGUGGGCGGAACCUGGCUGAUACACACCUGUGAGGACUUGCUGUCACCAGCAGCGGACUAUUGGACUUUAUCAGAAAGUCAGAGUGAGCUGAUGUGAGAACGCAGCAGGAUAUAAUCAGGAGAAUUCAGCUGGAGCGAGUGGGAGGGGGUGGUGAUGUUUAUUCCCUGUGAUCGCUGCACGACCAUAGACUGUCUGCACGCCACCUCUACCAUCUCCGUGCUCUAGUGAACCUGCUGCAUGUGUUUCCUGUUCUCCAGUAUGUUCUUCUCCACUCUUUAGUUCACAUUGAGAUUCUGUUCAACUACACGUAGCAUUGAUAGAAAGAC